AUCCGUGAAGAGCAGUUUGUGUGCUGUCUGA
rnacentral:piRNA from 1 species